UGCGAUACCUGAAAUAAGAAAAAAUGAAAGUUUUUUUUUUAGUUAAAAAAUGGAGGGGUCAGAAAAUUCUAGGGUUAGGGUUUUCAGGGAUUACGAGGAGAGCGAUGAGGAGGAUGAGAGAGCGCAGGCGAUGAUGAUGAGCCAUGCCUGUUGACUGCUCUGUGACUUCGACUGUGGUCGCCGGUGAUCAAUUUAUUGCGGCCUUGGUGCUUGCACGUGUACUGCACGUGCUUUAGAAAUAUCAAGAGAGAAUCCAUAAAGUUUAGGCUGUUAUCAGGAAAAGACCUGAGGACUUUCCCGGAAAAGAUUGGUGUCAGAUAUGAUGCUGUCAAUACUUUCGAACAUGUCCUCAUCAGAGCGAUCAUCGCCAAUGCACAUCACAAAAUCGGGUUCUUUAACAAGAACGCUCUCGAGAUGAUCCAUUAGUUCCUUUGCUUGGCAAGAACCAAAAUCAACAUCUGCAUCCAGAUGAUGCCAUACUAAUGCACUCUCCUUU